GUUGACCUCGGAUCAGGUAGGGAUACCCGCUGAACUUAAGCAUAUCAAUAAGCGGAGGAAAAGAAACCAACAGGGAUUGCCCUAGUAACGCGG
rnacentral:rRNA from 1 species